GGCCUCCUUGUCUGGAUUCGUCAUCCACUCCACCGUGUCGGAACAGUGCCAAGAGCGCCUGUGGUACCGAUGGCUGUGUCGUCUUGUCGGAACAGUGCGCAUACGGCUCUGCCAUCCCAUCGUUGAGAGCACGCGCGGCCAUCCCCGCUCUGCCAUAAGGCUCGCCCGUGCGGAGCUCUCUCUCGUCGCGCCCUGGCAUUUGGGACUCAGGGUUAGCGGCUCCCUGUUCUUUUAUCUCCUUCUCAAUGUUGAGUACGACCUCCCUCGCUCUCCUGUUUAGAACCCUAGAUCUCGAGUCUCAUAUGUGUCUUAGGUUCUUGCGGAUUUGGUCGUUGAGGUUGGAGUCACGCGCGUGAGCCGUCCUCAUUGUUCGAGGAAAUACUGACAUUGGAGUGUAAGCCGUCCUCAUUGUCUGAGGAAAUCUGACUUUGGCGAUGGCGACAUAGUUCUGCUUGUGUCUUUGAUCUCAGAUAACUCCGAAGAAAGAUGAAAAUAUGAAUUUGCACACAGUAAAUGCAGUUUCAACGACCAUCAGUCCUCCAGUUGCUCCUGUGAGGUCACCAGAGACACCAAAAAAUGGUGCUGACACCCUUACACCUAAGGUAAAACUUUUCUGCUAAGUGAAGCAUCUUUUUUUCUUUUACUUUGGAACUCAUUCCUUAGCAUUUGCUUGAGUUUGCAUGGUACUCGAGAUACCAGAUCUGAAAUAUAAUGGUAAUCUUUUCCUAUGUGCUUGAUCGCAUGCUAGUGAGAAUCUAGGGGGUGGCUGUACAAACAGGACACAAAAAGAGUGGUACAAAAAAGUGACAUUCACAACGUGAAAAUUUGCUUAUUUGUUUCCAUAGUAAAUAUGGGAUCUUAACCUAUGGAUGAUUACAAUCUACUUAUAGGACUCGCCCUUCCCCUACUAAAAACACACACAAAGAAACUCUUCCAAGAUGGUGACCUUGGAGAUGAUGAUGGUGAUGCCUCUGCCAAUGAUGAGGCUAAGCCAGGAGCAAGCAAUGCUUAGCCACCAAGAAUGAAAAAGGCACCAACCAUUUUGGCUCAACCAUAGCAACCAGAUCUUUUGUGUAUGGUUAUUUGAUAAGAUUCGCUUGGUAUUUUGCAUCAAAGAAACCUGCUACUGGUUUUGUCGACUGCAUAUUUUGUUAUCAGGAACGGCAACGCUGCAUUUGCAUUCGGGAUUACAGCCUAUCUUUCUACCUUUUAAGAACAACACCUAGGUGCAAAAAUAAGUUUAUCUCUCUAAGAUUCUUCAAUGCUUAAAGGUUCACUUCAUAGCGAGCAAGGACAAACGAGGCAAUGCCUUCAAAUGCAUAGUGGUUUCGUCCUCGCCUCGUUUGGAAAGGGUUGUUUCUCAGUAUACUGAAUAUGUUUGUAAUUUGUUUGGCUGCUAAAAGCGUGACUUCAUUAGUAUCAUAGACUUGUUUUGGUUGGAUGAUAACUUUGGAUUAGUGUUCAGAACUGCUAGAGCCUUUGCUGUACACAAGUUCUGAUCCUCCAUGUAAUAUGUAAUUGCACAGAAUCUUAUGGGACUGCAUAUAAUAUGUCGUUAGAAUGACUAUGGUCUGCAAGACUAUGUUCCUUACAUAUUGUACCU